GAGGAGGAGGUGUCUGGGGCCCAGAGUGGGGCUGCGUUGGAACUCAAGGAUGAGUUACUCCAUGAGUAACGGUAGCAGAUGGAACAGGAAGUGGAGAGGAGGAGGUGUCUGGGGCCCAGAGUGGGGCUGCGUUGGAACUCAAGGAUGAGUUACUCCAUGAGUAACGGUAGCAGAUGGAACAGGAAGUGGAGAGGAGGAGGUGUCUGGGGCCCAGAGUGGGGCUGCGUUGGAACUCAAGGAUCAGUUACUCCAUGAGUAACGGUAGCAGAUGGAACAGGAAGUGGAGAGGAGGAGGUGUCUGGGGCCCAGAGUGGGGCUGCGUUGGAACUCAAGGAUGAGUUACUCCAUGAGUAACGGUAGCAGAUGGAACAGGAAGUGGAGAGGAGGAGGUGUCUGGGGCCCAGAGUGAGGCUGCGUUGGAACUCAAGGAUGAGUUACUCCAUGAGUAACGGUAGCAGAUGGAACAGGAAGUGGAGAGGGCCACCGUGAAGAAGACUGUACAUAAGAAGUCAACAACGGACAAGACCAACGCUGCCCCUCAGGAAGCAGUAACAUUAAACAAUGAAGGUGCAAAGAAGAAGAAGAACAAGCUGAGGUCGUCAUUGGAUUCUGAGAGGGAGACGAGAAAAGGUGUUGGCUGCCUUCAACGGAUCUCUGCUGGUCCAGAGACGACCGGAGUCUGCUGUCUACCUCCUGACGGCACCUCAAAAACACCCUGCCUGGGAAAGAGAGAUGGACCUGAUGGACCUGAACUCGAUCCUGCCUUCUCCGUCCCUCCUGCCACCACAUUCAAAAUGCAGCUGGUUGGUUCCCUUGGAGCUCAGUUCAUCCCCCAGUCAACCCUCACCUCCCAGAACCGUGAGUGGCUCCAGACAGGCCCUUUCUCUAAAAAGAUCUGUCCACUCCUCACCUCCAUUGCACUGAUCCUUGAUCUGAAAGUACUGAACAGGUGGAAGCCAGCCGAAAGAGGAGCUUCCACAAUAUUGUUUUCAACUGUCAAGUCUUUCCAUGUCAAUGCAGAUGAAGCGGAAGAGACACAUUGUAUUGCUACAGGUCUAUUGAAUUGUACUGCUACAGGUCUAUUGAAUUGUACUGCUACAGGUCUAUUGAAUUGUACUGCUACAGGUCUAUUGAAUUGUACUGCUACAGGUCUAUUGAAUUGUACUGCUACAGGUCUAUUGAAUUGUACUGCUACAGGUCUAUUGAAUUGUACUGCUACAGGUCUAUUGAAUUGUACUGCUACAGGUCUAUUGAAUUGUACUGCUACAGGUCUAUUGAAUUGUACUGCUACAGGUCUAUUGAAUUGUACUGCUACAGGUCUAUUGAAUUGUACUGCUACAGGUCUAUUGAAUUGUACUGCUACAGGUCUAUUUAAUUGUACUGCUACAGGUCUAUUGAAUUGUACUGCUACAGGUCUAUUGAAUUGUACUGCUACAGGUCUAAUGAAUUGUACUGCUACAGGUCUAUUGAAUUGUACUGCUACAGGUCUAUUGAAUUGUACUGCUACAGGUCUAUUGAAUUGUACUGCUACAGGUCUAUUGAAUUGUACUGCUACAGGUCUAUUGAAUUGUACUGCUACAGGUCUAUUGAAUUGUACUGCUACAGGUCUAUUGAAUUGUACUGCUACAGGUCUAUUGAAUUGUACUGCUACAGGUCUAUUGAAUUGUACUGCUACAGGUCUAUUGAAUUGUACUGCUACAGGUCUAUUGAAUUGUACUGCUACAGGUCUAUUUAAUUGUACUGCUACAGGUCUAUUGAAUUGUACUGCUACAGGUCUAUUGAAUUGUACUGCUACAGGUCUAAUGAAUUGUACUGCUACAGGUCUAUUGAAUUGUACUGCUACAGGUCUAUUGAAUUGUACUGCUACAGGUCUAUUGAAUUGUACUGCUACAGGUCUAUUGAAUUGUACUGCUACAGGUCUAUUGAAUCUAAGCAGCUCUGUGAACUAUUCUGUCGUCAAUCAUUUGUAACAAUUGGGGUCAGUUUAACCAAAUGAGCUUAAGACCCAUUUUUGCAGAAUGAGAGCUUUGGCCAGACAUUCCAACAACAAAGGGAAGAAUGAACAAAACAGAACAUUUCCAGACUCACUAGACCUGUUAAGGACCUUACAGAGCAGCAUGUACACUGUACAUAAAGACCAAGAUGGGCCUCUCCUUGUCUUCACCUGUAUCUGUAGGCCUAGUUUCACCCCAGUGGACGAGCGUCUAGGAAGAGCUCCAUCUCGCAGGCUACAGACCAAGUUAUCUGAUCAUCUGUCUACAGCCAAUAGAGUAGAAGCAGAUUCUUUGGUACCAGUUCAUCAAACG